AUUGAACGCUGGCGGCAUGCCUUACACAUGCAAGUCGAACGGCAGGACGGGAGCAAUCCUGGUGGCGAGUGGCGAACGGGUGAGUAAUACAUCGGAACGUGCCCAAUCGUGGGGGAUAACGCAGCGAAAGCUGUGCUAAUACCGCAUACGAUCUACGGAUGAAAGCAGGGGAUCGCAAGACCUUGCGCGAAUGGAGCGGCCGAUGGCAGAUUAGGUAGUUGGUGAGGUAAAGGCUCACCAAGCCGUCGAUCUGUAGCUGGUCUGAGAGGACGACCAGCCACACUGGGACUGAGACACGGCCCAGACUCCUACGGGAGGCAGCAGUGGGGAAUUUUGGACAAUGGGCGAAAGCCUGAUCCAGCCAUGCCGCGUGCAGGAUGAAGGCCUUCGGGUUGUAAACUGCUUUUGUACGGAACGAAACGGCCUUUUCUAAUAAAGAGGGCUAAUGACGGUACCGUAAGAAUAAGCACCGGCUAACUACGUGCCAGCGGCCGCGGUAAUACGUAGGGUGCAAGCGUUAAUCGGAAUUACUGGGCGUAAAGCGUGCGCAGGCGGUUAUGUAAGACAGUUGUGAAAUCCCCGGGCUCAACCUGGGAACUGCAUCUGUGACUGCAUAGCUAGAGUACGGUAGAGGGGGAUGGAAUUCCGCGUGUAGCAGUGAAAUGCGUAGAUAUGCGGAGGAACACCGAUGGCGAAGGCAAUCCCCUGGACCUGUACUGACGCUCAUGCACGAAAGCGUGGGGAGCAAACAGG
rnacentral:rRNA from 1 species